rnacentral:rRNA from 1 species
UACGUAGGGGGCUAGCGUUGUCCGGAAUCAUUGGGCGUAAAGCGCGUGUAGGCGGCCCGGUAAGUCCGCUGUGAAAGUCGGGGGCUCAACCCUCGGAUGCCGGUGGAUACUGUCGGGCUCGAGUACGGAAGAGGCGAGUGGAAUUCCUGGUGUAGCGGUGAAAUGCGCAGAUAUCAGGAGGAACACCGAUUGCGAAGGCAGCUCGCUGGGACGUGACUGACACUGAGGCGCGAAAGCGUGGGGAGCGAACAGG